UAGGAGUGAAAUCCUGUAAUCCUGGACGGACCACCGGUGGCGAAAGCGCUCUGGAAAGACGGAUCCGACGGUGAGGGACGAAAGCUCGGGUCACGAACCGGAUUAGAUACCCGGGUAGUCCGAGCUGUAAACGAUGUCUGCUAGGUGUGCCACAGGCUACGAGCCUGUGGUGUGCCGUAGGGAAGCCGUGAAGCAUACCGACUGGGAAGUACGGCCGCAAGACUGAACA
rnacentral:rRNA from 1 species